CACAGGGAAGCAACUGGUACAGCUCAGUAUUGAUGAUUAAUACUACUAAUUAGUCACAAUUCAGGAAGAUGUGGGUGGGUGCAAGGGAACACCAGUUAGUUCAUAGAGACACCUCUCCUUCACGUCAGCCUCUGACCCAGAUCUUCAGAACAGGAAGCCUGUGAAAUGACACAUUCAUAGAGGUCAGAGACAACUUUUGGAAGUCAAUUCUUCCCUGCCACCUUCUGGGAUGCUGGGAUUGAACUCUGAUUCUUGGGUCCACCUUUUGCAGUGUUAGAAGGCUUCCUUCGGAAGCCCAGGGACCAUAUGGACAUGCUUGACAGCCAGCCCUUAGGAGGAGGAAAAGGAAGUAUUGGUGUCUGCUCUUAUCUGAACUUGAAGUAACAGGGAAAGUCUACACAUGGCUUCUGUCGUGGGGAGGUCAAGUUUGGCGUUGCAUGUGUUUGGAAAAAAGGAAAGGACCAGCCAUUUCUCCUUUGCUGGGAUCUAUGUGAUACUCCCAAUGCAGAGUACACUCAUACCCAC